AAUUUAGCGACGAGUUUAAAAUAUGUUCCCUAAUGGUAUCUUUUUACGGAUGAGAUUAUUUUCUAGUCCCUAAUUCACAUUUUUAUUGUCCAAAUAAAUUAAAAACUUUUAAUAACUAGUCCCUAUAAAGAAAAAAUUCCCAUCAACUAAAGGCACUAUAGAUAUUUCAGCGGCUUUGCUAAAAUAUUUCAUCAUCUCUCUAAAGAAAUCCCUAAAGACCUAAACCCACUGAGACUGGUCAAAUUACAAUCUCUGUAGACGCAAUCAUUGGAGACGCACGUUGGGUUUCCUGAUUCCAAGCUUCUGCAUCGAUUGCUUCUCAUUAUCUAGUCAUCUUUGAGGGAUAAUGCGUCACUCACUUCUCAUUAUCUGUGGAGGAUCAAGGAUUUGCAAGGUAAAUCUGGUGGUGCUCCAAACUCCAUGAGGUUCUGUCUCAUGGCUUUGCAGUUUUUUCUUUGUUAAGGUAUAAAAUUAUAUAGUUUAUGGUUGUAUAUUUAUAUGCUCUAGAGGACGAAAGGAAAGUUUUAAUGGAUUAGAGGCAUUUUCUUUUCUCUCAUUUUUUUUUUCACUACCUAUCACUUCAUACAUCAGGAGUGUAAAAGAAAUACAUUUGUAAUAAACAUAAAUUUAUUCCACAAGAUGCUCACUCUUGAUCAGUAAACAGUUGGAUGUUGGACAAUAUGGUAGUGGGAAAAUAUGGUUAAAAUUGAAUUCUAUUAAUGAGGGUUUAAUGAGGAUGGGACCAGAGCUAACUGCCAGGAUGAAUUUUACAGAAACAAUAUACUUCUCUUCCAUUCAUUAAUUAGUAUCAUUAUGGACCAUAGGAAAAGGAAGGGUUGGAAGAAGAAAGAAAGGAAGUCUGCUAUUACGUUUUCACUUAAUCAGGAUUACUCUAAUCUUUUUGGUAAUAGAGGGGCUGCUACUUUUUUCUUAUCAUACUGACUUGCUGAUAUUUAUUCAUGUUCAUGUUGUAGUUUGUUAGUAAUUCUGUUGUGUAUUGUUUGAUGGCUUAACUGUCAAGUGAAAAUAUAAACGUUAAGGUUGAUAAUGAUAAUUAGUUAUUUUCUACUGGUAUAGGUUUUGAACACAUGCCUUAAGUA